UACAGAGGUGGCAAGCGUUGUUCGGAAUUACUGGGCGUAAAGGGCGCGUAGGCGGCUUGUUAAGUCCCGUGUGAAAUCCCUCGGCUCAACCGAGGAACUGCACGGGAAACUGGCGGGCUUGAGUUCGGGAGAGGGAAGCGGAAUUCCGGGUGUAGCGGUGAAAUGCGUAGAGAUCCGGAGGAACACCGGUGGCGAAGGCGGCUUCCUGGACCGUCACUGACGCUGAGGCGCGAAAGAUAGGGGAGCAAACGGG
rnacentral:rRNA from 1 species